rnacentral:rRNA from 1 species
UACGGGAGGCAGCAGUGGGGAAUAUUGCACAAUGGGCGCAAGCCUGAUGCAGCCAUGCCGCGUGUAUGAAGAAGGCCUUCGGGUUGUAAAGUACUUUCAGUCGUGAGGAAGGUGUUAAGGUUAAUAACCUUAGCAAUUGACGUUAGCGACAGAAGAAGCACCGGCUAACUCCGUGCCAGCAGCCGCGGUAAUACGGAGGGUGCGAGCGUUAAUCGGAAUUACUGGGCGUAAAGGGCACGCAGGCGGUUAAUUAAGUUGGAUGUGAAAUCCCCGGGCUUAACCUGGGAAUGGCAUUCAAGACUGGUUAGCUAGAGUCUUGUAGAGGGGGUAGAAUUCCAUGUGUAGCGGUGAAAUGCGUAGAGAUGUGGAGGAAUACCGGUGGCGAAGGCGGCCCCUGGACAAAGACUGACGCUCAUGUGCGAAAGCGUGGGGAGCAAGCAGGAUUAGAUACC